rnacentral:rRNA from 1 species
GACGAACGCUGGCGGCGUGCUUAAUGCAUGCAAGUCGAACGAGGCCCCCUCGAUGAGCAAUCACUGAGGGACGUCGAGUGGCGAACGGGUGAGUAACACGUGAGGAACCUGCCCCGAAGACCGGGAUAGCCCGAGGAAACUCGGAUUAAUACCGGAUACUCUCAUCGAGCCGCAUGGCUUGGUGAGGAAAUGGAUUCCGCUUCGGGAUGGUCUCGCGCCCUAUCAGCUUGUUGGUGAGGUAAUGGCUUACCAAGGCGACGAUGCGUAGCCGACCUGAGAGGGUGAUCGGCCACACUGGGACUGAGACACGGCCCAGACUCCUACGGGAGGCAGCAGUAGGGAAUCUUCCGCAAUGGACGAAAGUCUGAGGCAGCAACGCCGCGUGCGCGAUGAAGGCCUUCGGGUUGUAAAGCGCUUUUCUGGGGGAAGAGGAAGGACUGUACCCCAGGAAUAAGUCUCGGCUAACUACGUG